rnacentral:rRNA from 1 species
AGAACGAACGCUGGCGGCAUGCCUAAUACAUGCAAGUCGAACGAACACUUCGGUGUUAGUGGCGCACGGGUGCGUAACGCGUGGGAAUCUGCCCUUGGGUUCGGAAUAACAGUUGGAAACGACUGCUAAUACCGGAUGAUAUCGAAAGAUCAAAGAUUUAUCGCCCAGGGAUGAGCCCGCGUAGGAUUAGCUAGUUGGUGAGGUAAAGGCUCACCAAGGCGACGAUCCUUAGCUGGUCUGAGAGGAUGAUCAGCCACACUGGGACUGAGAC